GACGAACGCUGGCGGCGUGCUUAACACAUGCGAGUCGAACGGAAAGGCCCCUUUGGGGGUCCUCGAGUGGCGAACGGGUGAGUAACACGUGAGUAACCUGCCCUUGACUUCGGGAUAACUUCAGGAAACUGGGGCUAAUACCGGAUAGGAAUCCUUGCUGCAUGGUGGGGGUUGGAAAGCUUCGGCGGUUUUGGAUGGACUCGCGGCUUAUCAGCUUGUUGGUGGGGUAGUGGCUUACCAAGGCUUUGACGGGUAGCCGGCCUGAGAGGGCGACCGGCCACAUUGGGACUGAGGUACGGCCCAGACUCCUACGGGAGGCAGCAGUGGGGAAUAUUGCACAAUGGGCGGAAGCCUGAUGCAGCAACGCCGCGUGCGGGAUGACGGCCUUCGGGUUGUAAACCGCUUUCAGCAGGGGCGAAGCUUGUGGUGACGGUACCUGCAGAAGAAGCACCGGCUAACUACGUG
rnacentral:rRNA from 1 species